rnacentral:lncRNA from 1 species
CUGAGAAGGCAGGCUGGGGAGGGCCACCCCACUCUCCUGAUUGGCUGCUCCAAGCCGCAGCCACCAGUGCCUCAACUUCCAUUUCGCACUUCUCCCAGGGAGGGGACCUUGGCGUUCCACAGCAGAGUCCUCAACUCCGUACAGGCUGGCCUGGAAUACCACCAUCCUUCCCAGUGCUGUGAGGAUCUUGUUGUUAUCAUCCUUUUUCACAGAUGAAGAAACACCGAGGCUUGGUGAGCAGCAGGUGAUGACCAAGGGACUGUAUAAGAGAAAGAACGUGGAUGGGUCCAUCCAUACCCAGAG